CAGAAAUAUCCAUUUUAACUAAAUAUUUCCACAAAUGUAAAUUGCAGCAUGUCCACCUCGGACCUUCGGCCCCCGUCCCUCCUCACCGUUCCUCCGCCCCUGCAAGCCCGCUUCCAGGUCUGCAUGCAACCUGCAGCAACCGGGAGGCGGUUCACGCGGACACCAUAAAAACAUAAACUACACCGAACUGAUGAUUAAAAUCCGCUGGAAAUAGCUCAAAGUACGAUUAUCGAAACUAGCUGUGGACACGAACGCAGCUUUUUGGGAAAACAAAAAUAACAGCUUCAGAAGUUAAAAACGUCACUCUGCAGUGUGCCAACUUUAUCUGAUAAAGAAUAAAGUUUUUCCACACAUGUCAACAUUCGAGGCCACCAUUUUUUGUUUCAUAAGCGGACAUGUUUGUGUUGUUUGUCCCGAACUCUGCGCUGGCUGCCGCAGACCCAGCUGCGGCGGUCUCUGAAACCCUCUAGCGGCACGGAGCGCCACGCCGCCCGGCGUGCUUCGGUAGGAGACUCCGCAGAGCGACCAUGUUUCCUCGUACCGGCCACGGCUGUCAAAACCCCGCGGUGGCUCGGCGGAAAACGGCUAAAACCCCCAUUUACGUCUCGGAUCGUUAGUACUCCAUUGAUGGAUGACUCGAUUUUUUCAUGGUGGUGCAGAGCACCAGCAGCAGCUUAAUGGCACAUUGGUGACCUUGAAAGUCCUGUUGCCUGGUCAUUCUGGUGGUUUCAUUUGCAUCUAAAUGAGGACGACAGUUAUUGGUAAUUUGUGAUAAUGGACUCAGACUCAGCAAUGAAAAGUGACAUGAGAGAAACAUGAGAAAAGUCCUCCAGAUUCAUUCAUUUGAUACUGACGCGGUGUGGUGGGAAUGCUAAACAGCGUCGGUUGCUGUGGACGCGGCCCACCAACAGUCACCAGAGGAGAAACUGUUGCUCAGCACCAUGGACAGCAAUUCAGCUCGAAGAAGCCAGAGGGGGAACGGGACAACCUGAGGCGGGAAAAAAAACUCUUAAAUGCAGAUUUAUAUUCAAAAUGUCAAUGUUAUUAAUAAAAACUGAAACAAAUCAACUGUAA